CACGUAGGUGGCGAGCGUUAUUCGGAUUCACUGGGCGUAAAGGGUCCGCAGGGUGCCUGCCAAGUCUGCCGUGAAAUCCCGGGGCUCAACCCCGGGCCUGCGGUGGAGACUGGCGGGCUGGAGUUCGCGAUGGGCAGACGGAACACCUGGUGUAGCGGUGGAAUGCGUGGAUAUCAGGUGGAACACCGACGGCGAAGGCGGUCUGCUGGCGCGCUACUGACCCUCAUGGACGAAAGCGUGGGUAGCAAACAGGAUUAGAUACCCUGGUAGUCCACGCCGUAAACGUUGAGGACUAGAUGUGGUGGGGCUGGCCCCCUCCGCGUCCAAGCAAACGCGAUAAGUCCUCCGCCUGGGGACUACGGCCGCAAGGCUAAAACUCAAAGGAAUUGACGGGGGCCCGCACAAGCGGUGGAGCAUGUUGCUUAAUUCGAGGCAACGCGAAGAACCUUACCCAGGUUUGACAUGCAAUGGACUUUCCGUGAAAGCGGUAUUCCCCUCGGGGCCGUUGCACAGAUGCUGCAUGGCU
rnacentral:rRNA from 1 species